rnacentral:sRNA from 1 species
GACAAAAGAUCAAAUACUUAAUUGGUAAUGCAUUAGAGAUUCUUGAGAAGCUGCGACAGGAUGGGCAAAUAUUCGACAUCAUUUUUCUAGAUGCAGCUAAAGUUGAAUAUAAAGAUUAUUUGGAGUAUGCUUUUGAGAAGAAUCUUUUGGCACCGAGAGGGACUGUACUAGUGGACAACUCCUAUCAGUUCGGCGAAAGCUACUCAGAAGAAGAGACGAUUUCUAAAAAAGUUUGCCAAGAGAGUAGCUUUCGACACGUCCUUACACUCAGUAAGUCACUUGUUUCACUGGCAAACACAUACCUACACACUCUCUUUGUGUCUCUCUCCCUCUGUCACUGUCUGUCUGUCUCUCUC